rnacentral:lncRNA from 1 species
GGCUAAUUGAAAGAGUCUCACUGGACUGGGACUCUUGUGAAGAGUCUCACUGGACGGAGACUCUGGUGAAGAGUCCCACUAGACUGAGACUGUAUCAUUAAUGAAAGAUUAAUUAAUGAUUAGAUUAUUAAUUAACUUAAUUUGAUUGAGCAUUAAAGUCUGGAUCAAGUCUGAUUGAAUUAGAUUCAAUCAGGUCAGAUCUGAUUAGAUUAUGAGAUGA